AUGCCUUCCUGGAACGAUGAGGAAACGAGCUCGGGGGAGGACUGCCGGGUCGUCAGCAUGGACAUGGGACUUAUGCUUGCUCAUCCCAAGUGCAUUCUGCAUCAAAUGAGGCCUAUUAAGCGUGUUGCUUUUGAAGGGCCUAUAACAGGAAGGCGUUUCUAUGGCUGCCCAGUCCAGAACUAUGGAAGGGUACUUGACAAAAAGAAGUUUGAGGAGUUGACCAAGCUUAAGAUUGAACAUGAAAGGGAGUUGGCCAAGCUUAUGGCUGAAAGUGACAAGCUUUGCAUUGAGUACACCAAGCUUGUUGAUGAUGUAUCCAAGAUGUUUGAUUGGCAGGAUGGUAGAGUGGACAGGAAGCCGCUGCCUGACCCCCGCCUCUGCUGCAGGCUGGCACCUCUGAGCCACCACGGCUGCACCCCGUUGCUACCUAUGUCGUUUGCCGCCGAGGCCGACAGGAAUUGUGCUACAACCACUGUGCGCUGCGUCAGAUUGAUCAACAAGGGUCAAAAGCCGAGGAUUACCACACUGGAUCGAACUGGCAAGUCAACAGGUUUAAUCUCUGACGCCCACCCGUUAGGCUCGCUUCUGUUGCUACCAUGCACUAGGUAUAACCUGAGCUUUCCCUUGGUUAGUACCUACAGCUCGGUGAAAGCCACGCUCCAUCCAACUAAUAACUGA
rnacentral:rRNA from 1 species